rnacentral:tRNA from 3 species
GGAGAGGUAGCGUAGCCUGGCCUAACGCGCCCGCCUGGAGAGCGGGUAGGCCCUGAAAGGGGCCUCGCGGGUUCGAAUCCCGCCCUCUCCGCCA